UGUUCAUUAUUUAUUUAAUUAAAUCUUUUGUUUUUAACAUUUUGCUUUACAUAAAAUUUAUGAAAUAAAAAACACUAGAUUAUAUGAGUUAACAUUUAUGAUGGUUAAGAUGAAGCCUGAAUUUUUUUAAAUUGCUGAUGUCUGAAAAUGGUGGCGGAAGAUGAUUAUAAAACAGAAAUCAUAUGCUCUUCUCUGCCAGCUAUAUUCAUUGGUUACAUACUUUUAUAUAUGCUAGAUAUUUAUUAAUAGUUCGUUUUACUACCUAGACUCAUGACAAACAAAUUAAUGUCAAGUUUUAAUAUGGAUGGAACGAGGAAUAAGAAUGCAUUUCGUAAGACAAAUCUGAUGAAGGUUAUUGCUGAGGCCAUGUCAAAGUAUGAUGAAAUGGAAAUAGAAAAAUGCGUUGGAAAUGUGUUAAAAGAGCGCCGGAUAGAAAAGGCGGAGGUGGACGGGAUAAAGAAAAUCAUAAUAACAGUUUUCAAGAUGUUUUUUAAAUAUUUUUGUAAUGUGAAGUAUCUUUAACAUGGUUUACACUGCAAA